GCGGCUGUAGCUCAGUGGUAGGGCACUUGCUCAGCAUGCGAGGGCCUGGGUUCCAUCCCCAGCACCGUG
rnacentral:tRNA from 1 species